rnacentral:lncRNA from 1 species
GGUGGCAGCAGCAAUGACUGGAGAAAGUGAAGGUGCCUAGGCUGCCAGUCAGCAGCAAUAACUGUGGUGGGCAUUACACCAGGAUGCUGGACAGCAAAUGACGGAAGGGCUUGGAAGGGAGGAGAAAAUAGAUGAUCUUGUCCGCAUAAUAAUACAGGGAAGAUGUAUAAAGGAAAGUAAGUGGUAAUGCUCUUGAAAGAUAAACAAUUGACUGCCUGUCACAAGUAAUUGAUGACUGAGAUCCUGAAGAAUGUGGCCAUGAUAAAAAAUACAUAUAGAAGAGUACACAUUCCACAUUCUCCUGACAUCUCGUUGCUUUCUUCUUUGCAGGAAUCUUUGCAAGAUCAAAUUAGAAGUAUUAUUUGCUGAAAGGCAAUAUUC